rnacentral:rRNA from 1 species
ACUCAAAGGAAUUGACGGGGACCCGCACAAGCGGUGGAGCAUGUGGUUUAAUUCGACGCAACGCGAAGAACCUUACCUGGGUUAAAUCCCACAGUGCGGCCCUGGAGACAGGGCUUCCCUUCGGGGGCUGUGGGACGGUGCUGCAUGGCUGUCGUCAGCUCGUGCCGUGAGGUGUUGGGUUAAGUCCCGCAACGAGCGCAACCCUUACCGUUAGUUGCCAGCGUCAAGACGGGCACUCUAACGGGACUGCCGGUGACAAACCGGAGGAAGGUGGGGAUGACGUCAAGUCAUCAUGGCCUUUAUGUCCAGGGCUACACACGUGCUACAAUGGCAGGUACAAAGCGCUGCAAACCCGCGAGGGGGAGCCAAUCGCAAAAAGCCUGUCUCAGUUCGGAUUGGAGUCUGCAACUCGACUCCAUGAAGGUGGAAUCGCUAGUAAUCGCGGAUCAGCACGCCGCGGUGAAUACGUUCCCGGGUCUUGUACACACCGCCCGU